CCUUUUCUGCGUGACGAGAGUGGACGGUAGCGCAGGAAUAAGUCUCGGCUAACUACGUGCCAGCAGCCGCGGUAAAACGUAGGAGGCGAGCGUUAUCCGGAGUUACUGGGCGUAAAGCGCGUGCAGGUGGGUGUUUAAGUCACUUAUGAAAGCUCCCGGCUAAACUGGGAGAGGCUGAGUGAAACUGGAUGCCUAGAGUAGAGGAGAGGUAGACGGAAUUCCGCGUGUAGUGGUGAAAUGCGUAGAGAUGCGGAAGAACACCAGUGGCGAAGGCGGUCUACUGGCCUCUAACUGACACUCAGACGCGAAAGCAAGGGUAGCGAACGGGAUUAGAAACCCCGGUAGUCCAUGCCGUAAACGAUGCACACUAGACGUUCGCAGUCAUUGGCUGUGAGUGUCGAAGCCAACGCGAUAAGUGUGCCGCCUGGGGAGUACGGUCGCAAGGCUAAAACUCAAAGGAAUUGACGGGGGCCCGCACAAGCAGCGGAGCGUGUGGUUUAAUUCGAGGAUACGCGAAGAACCUUACCUGGGUUUGACAUGAUGGUGGUAGCUUACAGAGAUGUGAGUGACCUUCGGGAGCCAUGACAGGUGCUGCAUGGUUGUCGUCAGCUCGUGCCGUGAGGUGUUCGGUUAAGUCCGCAAACGAGCGCAACCCUCGGCGUUAGUUACAAGUGUCUAGCGCAACUGCCCGUGGCAAACGGGAGGAAGGUGGGGAUGACGUCAAAUCAGCAUGGCCUUUAUAUCCAGGGCUACACACACGCUACAAUGGCGCACACAAUGGGUCGCGAAGCCGCGAGGUGGAGCCAAUCCUGAAAGUGCGUCUCAGUUCGGAUUGCAGGCUGCAACUCGCCUGCAUGAAGUCGGAGU
rnacentral:rRNA from 1 species